CCCUGGGUGGCUCAGGCGGUUAAGCGUCUGACUUCAGCUCAGAUCAUGAUCUAACAGUUUGUGGGUUCAAACCCCAUGUCAGGCU
rnacentral:tRNA from 1 species